AGGAUACAACUCCAUUUACCAUAAUGCAUUCUGGCCAUUGCUUUUGCGCAGAAGACACGUCCUGACUUUUUAAACCGCCGCACAUGCUUUUCCCGUCUCUUUCACGCUAGUGAGGAACGAAGAACCGAUUGUAGGAAUCUGGUGCGAUGCAGAGGGGGAUGUCACCAUGGCGGCCAUCACGCAAGAAACUUUGGCGUCCAUAUUGCACUGCACUAAAAUGAAGUUUCAGCGGGCCUUGACUGGAAUAGGCGCUUGAAAGCUACCACCCUCCGCUAAUCGGGGAAUCAUGUGAAGCUGGCCAGUUGUGACCCCUAUUUCCUGUGACAUUGUUGGCAGAGUGGGGGAUUCUCAGAUGGCAGUUUGCCAUAUACCAGAAGAAAGACGGUCACAACACGUAUUGAAGGGAAGCGAUGUGGCCUGCCGGUAUCUUCCAACACCCUGGACAGGAUGAGUGAGGACCCAUUUCUGACUGAAAUGGGAGUCUCAACCCAUGAAGACCAGACACCUAAAUGGUUCCCUACAGUAUGUGAGGACUCCCUGUGGCUGUAGGCUAAUUUUCUGAAGAGUUUGUCUACCACUUGAAGUAUCGUCCUUUUUAUGUUUGGUUUAAGAGCAUAAUACAUGGUGAGAACAGAACAGCAACUUUGCUUAUUUGCCUGCAGACUUAAGUAUCCAUCAUUGUCUAGGGACACCAUGGUCUUCCUCUACUACAUAGUGUGCAUGGGAUGCGAUUGUAUAUUAUCCACCUAAUUUAAUUGUUUUUUAAAAAUGUGAACUAAUGUAAACUGGCUCAAUUAGGCUUCUGUGCAAUUCUUCAUGGAAGUGUCUACACCAAAUUGUUUAGCAGCUAACCUGUUGUAAAUUGAGCCUAUGCUGUACUGUAUGAGAUCUUGUGAUAUCUAGGUGGUAUCUUUGAAAUGGGGAAUGUGGAUUCCAGAGACAUCACAAUAAAUCUGCUAGUACUUCAAA